rnacentral:lncRNA from 1 species
CCUAUGGGCACAAAAAGCAGGAACGAGUAGCGGUGGCUGAAGAACGAGCAGGAGCUUGAAUUUCAGUUUUCUUAUGAGGAAUUUUCCAGAAAAGAUAUCUUCACUGUGAAAUAACUAAAUAAAUGCCCACUCAGUACAACAGUGCCGAUGUAAUAGUAACAAAAAGUCUCAGCCUCAUUUAAGAUAAAAGGCCAUCAUCAGACAAUGCAGGACAGAUUGUAACAAUAGGAAGUACUACAGAGAUUCAGAGAAUGCCAUAAAUAACCUUGGAAUCCUGUGCUUGGUUUUGUUCUCAAAGAAUUCCAGAUAUGAUUUUUUUCCAGACAAAAAUACCUGCUACAUGCUUCCUUCUGUAUGAAUACAUGAGACCUACCUUCAUUCAUGUUUCCUCUAUGAAGCUUUCCCUGCACUCCAAACACAGAGCUGAGACUUCCACCUAAUGUAGAAAGCUAGCACGAGCCGGCGCUGACAGAUGGAAGACUUGAGAUGUUACAAGAUUAUAUAUGGAAACACAAAAGGUAAGGUUAAAAUCUGUUCAUUAGACUUAUUUCCUAACCUUUUAAUCACUCAUCACUUUGGAACAUUCUUGCAACUGAACUGAAUAAGCUGGGAAGGUUUUUUGGGUAAUUCUACUAACGCUUUUUUUUUUUUUUUUUUUUUUUUUUUUUGAGACAGGGUCUCACUCUGUCACCCAGGCUGGAGUGCAGUGCUGUGAUCCUAGCUCACUGCAGCUUUGAUCUUCUGGGCCCAAGCAAUCCUCCCACCUCAGCCUCCUGAGUAGCUGGGACUCAAAGUGUGCCACCACACCUGAUUUUCUUUUUGGUAGAGAUGGGGACUCACUAUGUUGCCCAGGCUGGUCUCAAACUUUUGGCCUCAAGGGAUCCUCCCACCUUGGCCUCCGAAAGAGUUGGGAUUAUAGGCAUGAGCCAACAUGCAUGGUCAAAUGCUUUUUAAACUAGUAAUUCACCUGUGUAUGGUUAUGUCAAAGAAAAAUACAAGGUUGCAUACGCUUAGAGAAAGUAAGGAAGUAACCCAUUACAUGUAUGUUUGUAAAUUUUACUUAGGCCAUCAUUUUUUAUUUUCACCUUUGAAUUUCAAAGUAAAUUAGAGAUAUGUAAAUAACAGAAUUAUCAACAUUAAAAUCUUAUUCACAAUGGCUAACAAGAACAGGAUGACAGUCAAGUCAGUAGCUUUUUAAUAAAAUGAGCAGAAUCCCAUCGUAACAGUUCUUUGUUACAUGAAUUCAAAUACACAGCAGACCAAUCAUGUUCCCUGAAAUUUAACAAUCAAUCAUACUUAAUAAAGGCCUGUUAGUGCUGUCCCUCAAGACUCUAAUUCUAAAGGGCUUCCUUUGAAUUCCCUUUAUAAAGCUUUGUGCAAAGAAGAGCUUAAGCACCAGUAAGAAAGACUGUCGCUAGCAUUUUUAUUUCAUCAUCAACAACAAACAUGCAGUUUCUUUCUCUGAUGUGCAUGGCACUGUAAAAUGGGUGCUACACUCUCUCUUGUGGUACAAAGUUUAUAAAUACAGUAUACUGAUACAAAGUUGAAGCCAUUAAAAAGAGCUUAAUAACAACUAUGAGGAGAUAAUUAAAUCUGGAGUGUUGAUGGAAUCUAUGAAGAGAUUUAGAAACAAGACAUAAACACUACGGUAAAAGUUUUACUUGGGAAGGGGCCAGAGGGGAACUUUUUAUGUGCUACUGAAAGAUUUUUUAAGUUGCUCCAGAUUUACUUUCUUUCUGCUAUUAUCUUUAAAUACUGCAAAGCAUUGUGAGCUGCAUCACUUUGUGCAUUGCCACAGGAGAUACCGGAGCCAUGACAGACUGUGAUGGGGCUGGUGGACAGUUCAGCAAGACAUUGAUAUUGUCCAUUGGCGCUCAGUUCAUCUGUAAUGACACAUUCAAGGAUGACGAUUAAUGUCCAAUAUGUAUAAAGUGGAUCCCUUUGUAAAAACAAUACAAUUCUUAUUAUUGUCUUUCUUUUUAAGCCUCCAUGGUAUACUACACCACUCGCAAUCUUUGUUUUGCUUGUACAAACAAAAAACCACAACUGCUCAGCUGUAGCAGUUUUCAAACACAUUACACUUCAUAAUGAUCUGACAGUGUUAAAGACAUACAGAUAUCUAGGCUGCACUCUAGCUCACUCAAUCAGAAAUAUACAGUUGGGGGUGGCUGAUUCCUACACUUAAAAAAAUAACAGCUCCCAAGGCAAUUCUAAUAUAGUUAGUUGAACACUAUUUGGAAAUUACUGAACCACACAGUAACUUUCUCAAAAGGGAAAGAACCAUUUGCUAGAGGACUGGAGAGAUUGUAUUUUCCACUAGGAAGUCAUUUUCAGGAGGCAUUUGAACCAGGAAUAACUUCGGUCAAGGCAAAACCUCCCUUGUGUCUUCUAUUAAAAAAAAAUGUUUAAUUGAUACAUAAUAAUUGUAUGUAUUUAUGCUGUUGUCCAUUCAUGUUCCUAGGUUUUAAGUCUGUGCAGAGUCUAGUUCUUUAUUUAUACUGUAAAUGGGUCAUGGUAUUUUAAAAACAAUACCUGACCCAGGAAACAAACGUUCUUCCCAUCAACUGAUGAGCCACUCUUACUAAAGAUGGCUGAAAUGAGGGCAAAGAGGAAGAAAUAGAAACGUGUGCGGUAUGAUUUAUUUGAAGUAGGCAUAAUAAAAAUGUUAUUUUUGAUACUCUAUUUAGUGGAAAAUAUCCAGAUACAAUGGGAUUAUUUAAUGAGUAAAGAGGCUUUCUAGUUCUAGUAUCUAGGUUCUUUUCUCCUGACCCUCCAGCUUCUGCUUGAGGCUCAUCCAUGUUGUAGAAUGUAUCAGAACUUCGUUUCUUUUUACAGCUGAAUAAUAUUUCAUUGGAAGGACAGUCCACAAUUUGUUUAUCCACUUAUUCACUGAUGGAUGUUUUGGGCUGUUUCUACCUUUUGGCUUUUGUGAAUGGUGCUGCUAUGAAUAUACAGAUACCUGUGUGUAUAGGCAUUUGUUUAAAUACCAGUUUUUUAUUUAUACUCCUAGGAGUGGAGUUGCUGGGUCAUAUGGCAAUUCAUUUGAGGAACUGAGAAGCUUAUUCCAUGGAGGCUGAACUGUUUUAUAUUCCCACCAGCAACGUGUAAGGUUCCAGUUUAUCUACAUCAUCACCAACACUUGCUAUUUUCCAUUUCAUUAAUGAUAGCCAUCCUAGUGGAUUUGAAGUGGUACCUUAUUAUCGUGGUUUUGAUUGCAUUCUCUAUUGACUAAUGAUAUCGAGCAUCUUUUCAUGUAUUUUUUGGUCAUUUGGUCAUUUUUCUUUUUUAAUUUUAAAAUUUUGAGACAGGCUCUCACUAUGUUGCCCAGGUGGUCUCAAACUCCUGGGUUCCAGCGAUGCUCAUGCCUCAGUCUCCCAAAGGGGUGGGAUUACAGGUGUGAGCCACUUUGCCCAGCCCAUUUGUAUAUCUCCUUUGGAGAAUAUCUAGGUUCUUUUGAAGGUAGCUGCAUAUAAACUAGCCAAAUUAACAGACUGUGGUUUUUAGAUGGCUUUCCAUAUCUACAAGAACUAUUUAGUUCUCAAAACUGGGAAGAAAUGUUUCAGAGGCAUCAUUAAUUCAUAAUCUAAAAAUUUAUCUUGGGUUUCCUUUUUUCCCCCAGAUUCUGUAUCCUCCAUAGUCCUAUUCAUGACAUGGGUCGUUCAUCUCUGUAUUCUAAACCCUCAAUGAACUGUAGACAGUAAUAAAUAUUUAUUGGAU